rnacentral:misc_RNA from 1 species
AAAUGCGAUAAGUAGUGUGAAUUGCAGAAUUCAGUGAAUUAUCGAAUCUUUGAACGCACAUUGCGCCCCUUGGUAUUCCAUGGGGCAUGCCUGUUCGAGCGUCAUUUGUACCCUCAAGCUCUGCUUGGUGUUGGGUGUUUGUCCCCGUCUCCGCGCGUGGACUCGCCCCAAAGUGAUUGGCAGCCGGCGUACUGGUCCCGGAGCGCAGCACAUGUCGCGCAAACGAGUGCCUUGGUACGGCGGCGUCCAUAAGCCCCUCUCUCACGCUCUUGACCUCGGAUCAGGUAGGGAUACCCGCUGAACUUAAGC